rnacentral:rRNA from 1 species
GACGUAGGUGGCGAACGUUAUCCGGAAUUAUUGGGCGUAAAGGGUGCGUAGGUGGGCAGUUAAGUCAGUGGUGAAAUCUCCGGGCUUAACCCGGAAACUGCCAUUGAUACUAUCUGUCUUGAAUAUCGUGGAGGUAAGCGGAAUAUGUCAUGUAGCGGUGAAAUGCUUAGAUAUGACAUAGAACACCAAUUGCGAAGGCAGCUUACUACCCGAAUAUUGACACUGAGGCACGAAAGCGUGGGGAUCAAACAGG